GCUACUCUCUUCUCACUCGCUCAACCAGUGUUGCUUCCGCUGUUGCUACUGCUCUGCUCCACGUCGUUCCCCUCCCAGCUCUGCUGCAGCUGGAGUAGAUCUCUUCGCCUCGCCGCAGCGGGUACAACCAAGGCUCCGCUACAUGGCUUCCCCACCCCUUCGGCUGCUGCUUGAGUUUGUCUUCCCCCCCCCCCGGUGUGUGGAAGAAGACUGGAGUUUAUGCUUAGGCCUGCGCUGAAAGGAAGGCAGCCAGUGAUUUGUAAUGAAGUAACCAUUGAAAAAAGCACGUGUUUUGGGCUUUAUUUUUGCCUUCCUUAAGGAUGGUGGGGAGGAGAACUAAAAAAUGCCGUCUUGCAGGAGGCAGACUUAAAAAAAGCAUCUUAAAAUGAACCCACAAAGGUGGCAGUCCUGUCGUCUCGUGUGUCCGUCCUCCCGCCCCAGCGGGUGAGAUGUGUCAGACCCGGCUGGACACUUGCUGGAGUUAGUGUUACUGCUAAUGUCCAUCUCUGCGGGUGUAAAUAGGCCGCGUCGCAGGAACUGAAACACCCGAUGCUGGAAACGUUGCUGGGGCGAGGAAUCUCCAGGUUCCUUAAAUGUAAUUCAUCUUUGAAGAGAAGAACAGCAUAGAAAAUCUUGUCCUAAGAUUUGGAGAAAUAACGGGAUUAAGCAUGAGCAGUUUUCUUAAAGGUUAUAGUUUUGAAGUGGAAAACUUUGUUGACCCUGUGGCAUACCUGCCACCCCAGAUCAGCAAUCUCCUCAUCCCUUGAGGACAUACGUUGCCCUCGGUCAGCGGAAAACAUUUGCUCCUUUC